GGCAGAAUAAGCUAGGUAAGCUAGUGGGCUCAUGACCCAAAAACGGAGGGCUAAAUUCCCCCUUCUGCUA
rnacentral:tRNA from 1 species